UCUCCCUUCUUAUGUAUAUGCAAGUAAGAAUGCUACCGUGUAGGUGCAAUGAUCUGUUCCCUUUCUUGUGGUAACCCAAAAAAAAUCUUUCGUUGACUAUAAUUCUCAGGCUUUUUUUAAAAAGAUAUUUGAAUCAUUAGCUAUAUUUACUUCUAGUACUAAUGUAGUUUUCAAAUAUGUACAUUAUGUUUUGAAUUUUUUGAAGAAUCUGUACAUGAAUUCAUAAUCAUAUAUUGGGACAAAGGGAAUAAUCAAUGGUAAUUCAUAGUUAUGUGAUUAAUCAUACAAAUACAUUUCAUAUUUUACCUUAGAAAUUUAUAUUUGAAGAACUGCUAGAUGUGAAUGUUUACACAGAGAAUAGCAAAGGAAAAGUUGAGUCAUGAUUAUAAAAUGGGUUACUUGUUGGUAUCUUCCAUCUACUUUUUCUUCAUUUUUGUUAUUUGUUUUUGGCAAUUCCAUCUUUGGAAAAAGGAUUGGAUUGUAUGGUGAUGCACUCACUAGGACUGUGAGUGGAUGGAUCGCCAUCUGAGCCCUACAGAUUUAUUUUAUUUGAUUCUUUUAUCAAUCAAAAAAUUCAUAAUACCUCCUUUGGGACAUUCAGCUUGAAAAAUGAUAUUUGUAUAUUUUAAUCGCAAUGUUUCUGAAUCGAAUUCUUAGUUACUUCAGGAAUCUAAUUAUUUCCAUGUUAUUUAUCCUUUUAACAUUGCUUUAUUUCUAUUCUCUUGUAGUUUUAAAAAACUAAAGAUGAAUGACAAGUAACAUGUUACCAACAAUUCAACAACCGAGAAUGGCUCUUAUAUGUGGAUUAUCCUGAGGGAAAAGUUACCGUCAGCGGCAACCAAGAGAUUGUAGUCACAAAAGAGAAGAAUUGUUCCAAUGAAACAAAAUUCGGUUCUCCAAUGCUUCCCCAUGUUUAGCAAGAUAUGUGAGCCGAGGAUGCUAACACCACAACAUUUCCAGACGUGAGUUUGAACUGAAUACAUAUGAAAUGCUUUAACAUCAAGCAUAUAUAUGUGCAAAAAUAUGAAGGCUAGACUUGCCAGUAGAAAAGCAGUUUCGGAGAGCCAAGAAGAAGACAUAUGUUGUGCAAUUCAGGUGACCCUGUUUAUACUGGUUCUUUUAACACACACAUAUCUCUUGAUGUUGUCUGUGAGGCCUUUAAACCGGAUAUUGCUGAUCCUGUGUUACAUGGA